ACUUUUUGGUUUUAAAAUAAAUAAAAAAAGGAGAAAAAGUAAGGAUCAAUCCUUACAUAAGGAAUUUAAGGAUCAGGUCCGUAUCUACGUGGCAUUGGCAAAAAGGGGAAAAUUGAUGAAUCCCUCUUUCUUCUUCUUCUUUUUCAAAUAUCAUCUUCCUCUCGGAUUGUUUUCCUUGGCUGUUGAUCAAAAAAUCAAAUCUUUUUCUUCCUCAUCUUCUGGGUUUCCAAAGGUGAUUUCUGGGUUUGUCUCAAUUUUGAGCAUGUUUCCCCGUUCAUUUGGUUUCAAAAUCAAAUGGAGUGGGACAGCGAUUCCGAUCCUAGCGGCGGAGAAGAUGUGGCUGAUGACGGAUAAGAAGAAGGAGCUUGUUGAUGACAAGAAGCUGGAGAUUCAGAAGCUGCUGAACCUUGAGGCUGAGCAGUUUAAUCAGGUUUUUGAUCAGCUUGUUUCCAUUGGGAGAUUGAUCACUGACUUCCAUAGGGAGGAGAGGAGAGGAGAGAAGAGAAGAGAUAUGUCUCAGAUCUGAAUCAAUUCAUCAUCAUCGUUCCUUGUGAAUAUAAGUAUAACGUCGACAAAGAAAUGACGCUUCUCAAGUGAAAAUGGCGGUGGACUGUUCAACAAAGCUACUGAGAAGCUGCAAGGGAGAAUCGGUUACCAGCAUGUGUAUGUAGAUUUCUCAGACCUUGAAGUCACAGUUCCUUAAAGUGUGAGGGAUGCGUGGGAGCUGUGAAACGAGUCCUAGGCAAAAUGCAAGUUGGAAGGGGUGAAUCGAUAAGGUCUAGCAAAGAUGGCGAACUUGCAAGUUUCUGGAAUAAUUGAAAAUGGUUUGUUUUCUUCUCUCUUUAGACUUCGUCUUCAUUGUCUUGAGAUUUUUUUUUUUGUAAUUGUUCUCUUUCCUUGGAA